rnacentral:lncRNA from 1 species
UGUAAAAAGUGAUGAAGACAACAAAGCUUUCUUCUGAGAGACAUGACUGCUAGCAGUGGUGCCUACACAACGUAUGCGAGACAGUAAUGAUAUUCCUGGCAGGCUGAUCAGCACACUGAUAGAGCCGUGACCUGUGGAGGGAGGAAUGUCUGUCAUUCUGUCAAGAGUAAACAAGCCGUAGUGGAAAUGAAAAACAGAAACCAAGGCCUGAGAAGUUGCCAAGAGCUCUUACAUUUGUUCUCUCAAUAGAAACAUGGAAAAGUGAUUUACCUACUUUGCUGUCCAACACACUGUC